UUUAUUCAAUUUUUAGAAAUAAAAAAGGAUCAAUUUUGUAUUUUCACUAAUUUUUGUAUAAAAUAACGACCAUUGGGAACUUUUUGAACUUUUUUAAUUAUAGGUAAUCAUAAAGGACCAACUGUUAAUUAAUUGUUUAUAUUGGUAUUUAUUUACAAACAUACAGUUUUCACACACCUGUACUUCAUAGAAUAUUUAAACAAUAAUCUUUCUAAUAACAAACAAUAUACAAUUUUAGGUAAUUAUUCCAUAAAACAUUAUAUAAACCGGUAUUUCAAUACUCAAACAGUAUUUCACAACUUUUGAUUUUAACUCUAGAAAAUAAUUCAAAUAUAUUUAAUACUUAUUGACGACCCAAGUUUUAGAUAUAAGUAAAUCUAAAAUGACAAUUACGUGGUUAUGUUUAUUAUUGAUUUCAUUAAAUGUUUUUUAUCAAGGUGAAUCGACAUUUUUUAAAGGCGUAAAAACUAAAGCUAUAAAUACUAAAAAUGCAAUCAAAAAUUUUGGCAGAGAUUACAGAAACUAUUUCAAAAACUGCUCACAUUUGAAAAACAUUAUGAAAUGGGUUAGGAAAUUCAUAAAUUAUGGUAUACGUUGUGGGCCUACUGUAGACAAUUAUAUGGUCUGUGAAUCAGAAACAAAAUUAAUAAGUAGAAUCAGUUUUAAAAAUACAUUUUGGCUUAAAAUACCUUCACGUUUUCGUAAAUCUAUUACUAAAAAAGAAAAUAAAGUCUUUUUUCAAUUUAACCCAUCGGCUAUAAGUACGAAACAUAUAAUCUAGUGAUACUUAUAAUGUUAUAAUUUAAUUUAUUUAUGCUGAUUGUUAACUUAUGUAUUAAGUUAAAAUUUUAACUUUUUUUUAAAAUGUUGUCUUAAGUUUUUGUUACUGCUAUGAUUGUAGUAGAUUAAAUAGCCAAUAUUUAAUUUAGACUAAGUUAUUUACGAUUUAUUUAUAUUCAGUAAAUUGUUUUGUAUUUACUAACUAAUAAUAGGUAUUAUAUUUUAUUUAGAUUAUGUACCUAAUAUUUCGCUACAUUUCCUUUCUGAUUUAUAUGGAAAAUAUGUUUUAAUUUUUUUUUAUUAUACAUGCAAGUUAUCUAUAAUGCCUGUUGUUUACUUUAUGCUAUAAUUUUAAGUGAACACUAAUAGACUGACUUAAUAGUCAUACCCCGUUUUUUAAACAAGUGUGUAUUGAUAUUUGUAUUUUAUACUUAAUCAAAUCCAGUUAACUAGUAAUUGGUCGGCUAUUUCGCUCUACAGUCUACACGAAUCGAUGUUAAAACCAUGUUAUCGCCUUGAUAUUAAAUAAAGUACUAUUGAAGUUAUAUUUUACAGACUCUAGAAACGUAUAUAGUAAUGUAUGCAAAGAUUUACUGAAUGCAUCUGAUUUGUUAAUUAUACAAUAUAAUAACACAAAUAUCACCUUUA